AUUGAACGCUGGCGGCAGGCCUAACACAUGCAAGUCGAGCGAGCGGCGGACGGGUGAGUAAUGUAUGGGGACUGCCCGAUCGAGGGGGCUAACUACUGGAAACGGUAGCUCAUACCGCAUACUAUCGGAUAACCCAUAUGGGAUUAGCUAGUAGGUUAGGUAAUGGCUCACCUAGGCGACGAUCCCUCACGGUUCUGAGAGGAUGAUCAGCCACACUGGGACUGAGACACGGCCCAGAUGCCUACGGAGGCAGUAGUGGGGAAUAUUGCACAAUGGGCGCAAGCCUGAUGCAGCCAUGCCGCGUGUAUGAAGAAGGCCCUAGGGUUGUAAAGGACUUUCAGUCGGGAGGCGUUACCGACAGAAGAAGCACCGGCUAACUACGUGCCAGCAGCCGCGGUAAUAC
rnacentral:rRNA from 1 species